rnacentral:tRNA from 1 species
GGGGGACUAGCUCAAAUGGUAGAGCGCUCGCUUAGCAAGCGAGAGGCAUCUAGAGGCACCGGGAUCGAUGCCCGGGUUCUCCA